ACGUAGGGUGCGAGCGUUAAUCGGAAUUACUGGGCGUAAAGCGCGCGCAGGCGGUCCUUUAAGUCUGAUGUGAAAGCCCACGGCUCAACCGUGGAGGGUCAUUGGAAACUGGGGGACUUGAGUGCAGAAGAGGAAAGUGGAAUUCCACGUGUAGCGGUGAAAUGCGUAGAGACGUGGAGGAAUACCGAUGGCGAAGGCAGCCCCCUGGGCUAACACUGACGCUCAUGCACGAAAGCGUGGGGAGCAAACAGGA
rnacentral:rRNA from 1 species